rnacentral:lncRNA from 1 species
AAUGGCUGCUAGCAGUAUGGAUGACAUUCUGGUUAUCACUGGAUUCAAUACAUGCUUGAGCAUAGUCUUCUCCUCGGGCAGCCAACGUAUUGGUUUACAUGGAUCUGGAGGAUUAUGCACACUAGUGUUGAGUUUCAUUGCAGGGACAAAAUGGUCCCAAGAAAAGAUGAAAGUCCAAAAGAUUAUUACAAAUGUAUGGGAUAUUUUUCAACCACUUCUUUUUGGUUUAGUUGGAGCAGAAGUAUCUGUUUCAUCGCUUGAAUCAAAUAUUGUUGGCAUAUCUGUUGCCACUCUUGAGUUUGGCAUUAUGUGUUCGAAUUUUAACCACAUAUCUAUUGAUGUGCUUUGCUGGUUUUAGUUUUAAGGAGAAAAUAUUUAUUGCUUUAGCAUGGAUGCCCAAAGCUACAGUACAGGCUGUGUUAGGUCCUCUGGCUCUAGAAACAGCAACAGUCUCCGCACCCCACUUGGAACCAUAUGCAAAGGAUGUGAUGACAGUAGCAUUUUUAGCCAUCUUGAUCACAGCUCCAAAUGGAGCUCUACUUAUGGGCAUUCUGGGGCUUAAAAUGCUCACACGCCAUUAUGAUCCAAGCA